AUCUACCUACGAAACAUUUUAAGUUUUUGCUAUACGAUGUGUAGACCCUUAUUAAGAGAAUAUAGAGAUGUGAUGUAUAUGGACUCUUACAUGUAUACCAUACAAGUAAAAAACAACUGAGAUAGAAAAAUAGUUUUCUAAAAAAGUUUUCAUUAUUAGAAACUUCGAAAGAGAGGGUAGCUUAAAGAGAGUAAGAACGAAUAUGAUG
rnacentral:misc_RNA from 1 species